GUGCCAGCAGCCGCGGUAAGACAGAGGUGCCAAGCGUUAGGCGGAAUCACUGGGCUUAAAGCGUGUGUAGGCGGAAGCGUAAGUGCCUUGUGAAAUCCCGCGGCUCAACCGCGGAACUGCUGGGCAUACUGCGUUUCUUGAGCCAAUCAGGGGUCGUCGGAACAAACGGUGGAGCGGUGAAAUGCGUAGAUAUCGUUUGGAACGCCAAAGGCGAAAGCAGACGACUGGGAUUGAGCUGACGCUGAGACACGAAAGCCAGGGGAGCAAACGGGAUUAGAUACCCGCGUAGUCC
rnacentral:rRNA from 1 species